AUGUAUACGAGCCCUCGAGGCCCCUGGCUUUGUACGAUUGAAUCGAGGGCGUCACACAGCUCGAGGCCACCAAUGGCGUCGUGCCCUUUGGCAGGCUCAACUCUGAGGGGCGGCGCCGAUGGUGGCGCGUGCCCGGCCGCACGCUGGAGGCCGUCCUCGAGUACAUCGAGGGCGGCAACACGGCGAGGCUGGAGUAUCCCGACCCCCCGUCCUUUUCUCGCCGCCGUGGGAGCUCGUGGACGCCGAGGCACAUGGACCCCGGGGCGUCCUCCUCCUCGUCCGGUCGGUCGACGAGCUCUCCCUGCCUCCACCCCGUCAAGCCGGAGCCCCAGGACACGCCUGUCAGCCGGCGCACCCGUAGCUCCGGCGUCCGCAUCGCCGACUCCACCCCUGCCUCUGGCCGCCUCGUCCUCGUCACGCCCAAGCCGGAGCCCGGCCUCCCCCCGGAGUACAAGGAGAUAG
rnacentral:rRNA from 1 species